GGAAUAGAUUAUUAGAGAAAUCCGCACACAAAACAAAAUAUAUAGAAACAAUUAAGUACUCUAUAAUUCUUACGUCUCUACCAAAAAAUUAUAAAUACUACAAAAGGGAAAAAAAUAUUAAUAUUGAUGAAAAAUUAAAUUAUAAAAGAAGUGAAAAUAAAAAAUUAUAAUAAAAUAAUACAAAUAUGUUGAUAAUCAAAAUUACACAAUUAUAUUCCCAUAAUAAUCAUACAUAAAAAAGUUAUGCACAAAUAAAGAAAGAAAAUAAAAUAAAAAACAAAAGGAAACCAAGCAAAUAAAAUAAAAUCAAAAGAAAAAUAAAUAAAUAAAUAAAUAAAUAAAGGAUUUAAAAAAUAAAAUAAAAUGAAAAUAAAAUCGACAAAUUAAGAAAACUAAAUACAAUG
rnacentral:lncRNA from 1 species